UCGUUAGAGCAACCUUGACAUACACAUUGCUGACUAUCUCAACAAUAAUAAUUGAAAAAGAAACAUCUGUUUUAAAACACGUAGCAAUUUUUCUCGUAGUGUAAAAACAAAUGUCACCAAGUAACUGCGAUGCAAUGAUCUUUAAAUAUGUCUAGUCAGGUCUUUAAUUGUAAUACUUGCGAUACGCAGUAACCACACAGCAAAUAUGUUUUCCAGACAUAUACACAAAUCUUAAAGUUAUCUUCCUUUCGAAGAUAAAAACAAUUUUCAAUCCAUAAGUAUGUCGAAGAAAUUGAAACGAACUUUGAAAGAAGAAAAUGAAGAAUGGGAAUUACAAUAUUUUUUAGUGAAUAGUGGAGGCAAAAUGUCUUGUUUGCUUUGUGAUACCGCAAUUGUAACAGUUAAGAAAUUCAAUGCACAGCAGCAUUAUGUUCUUCAUAAAGGCAAAAAAAUAUACCAAAUUAGAGGGUGAAUCCCGAAAGAUAGCACUGCUGAAACUGAAAGAUGGAAAGCAAAAGCAAAGACAAUUUUUCCAUUCUGUGUUACAUCAAGGAAAUGGUGCGACAGAAGCCAGCUAUAAAGAUGCAUAUUUGCUUGGAAAAUAGGACCAAUUGAUACUAAGAACCACUAUGUUAGAACCUGAUAUCAAAAUGUUUUCUCAAAAAAAAAAAAAAAGAAGCAAACUCAAAGAAGUCGUUAAUUUGAAUAACGAGUAAAUACAUACCUAAAUAAAAUAUUUCAAAAUUUCAUA